GAUGAACGCUGGCGGCGUGCUUAACAUAUGCAAGUCGAACGGAAAGGCCCAAGCUUGCUUGGGUACUCGAGUGGCGAACGGGUGAGUAACACGUGGGUGAUCUGCCCUGCACUUCGGGAUAAGCCUGGGAAACUGGGUCUAAUACCGGAUAGGACCACUUCUUGGAUGUUGUGGUGGAAAGUUUUCUCGGUGUGGGAUGAGCUCGCGGCCUAUCAGCUUGUUGGUGGGGUAAUGGCCUACCAAGGCGUCGACGGGUAGCCGGCCUGAGAGGGUGUACGGCCACAUUGGGACUGAGAUACGGCCCAGACUCCUACGGGAGGCAGCAGUGGGGAAUAUUGCACAAUGGGCGCAAGCCUGAUGCAGCGACGCCGCGUGGGGGAUGACGGCCUUCGGGUUGUAAACUCCUUUCGCUAGGGACGAAGCGUUUUUGUGACGGUACCUGGAGAAGAAGCACCGGCUAACUACGUG
rnacentral:rRNA from 1 species